AACGCUAGCUACAGGCUUAACACAUGCAAGUCCUGGGGCAGCAUCAUCAAAGCUUGCUUUGAUGGAUGGCGACCGGCGCACGGGUGAGUAACACGUAUCCAACCUGCCGACAACACUGGGAUAGCCUUUCGAAAGAAAGAUUAAUACCGGAUGGCAUAGUUUUCCCGCAUGGGAUAAUUAUUAAAGAAUUUCGGUUGUCGAUGGGGAUGCGUUCCAUUAGGCAGUUGGCGGGGUAACGGCCCACCAAACCUACGAUGGAUAGGGGUUCUGAGAGGAAGGUCCCCCACAUUGGAACUGAGACACGGUCCAAACUCCUACGGGAGGCAGCAGUGAGGAAUAUUGGUCAAUGGACGAGAGUCUGAACCAGCCAAGUAGCGUGAAGGAUGACUGCCCUAUGGGUUGUAAACUUCUUUUAUACGGGAAUAAAGUGAGCCACGUGUGGCUUUUUGUAUGUACCGUAUGAAUAAGGAUCGGCUAACUCCGUGCCAGCAGCCGCGGUAAUACGGAGGAUUCGAGCGUUAUCCGGAUUUAUUGGGUUUAAAGGGAGCGUAGGCGGGUUGUUAAGUCAGUUGUGAAAGUUUGCGGCUCAACCGUAAAAUUGCAGUUGAUACUGGCGACCUUGAGUGCAACAGAGGUAGGCGGAAUUCGUGGUGUAGCGGUGAAAUGCUUAGAUAUCACGAAGAACUCCGAUUGCGAAGGCAGCUUACUGGAUUGUAACUGACGCUGAUGCUCGAAAGUGUGGGUAUCAAACAGGAUUAGAUACCCUGGUAGUCCACACAGUAAACGAUGAAUACUCGCUGUUGGCGAUAUACAGUCAGCGGCCAAGCGAAAGCAUUAAGUAUUCCACCUGGGGAGUACGCCGGCAACGGUGAAACUCAAAGGAAUUGACGGGGGCCCGCACAAGCGGAGGAACAUGUGGUUUAAUUCGAUGAUACGCGAGGAACCUUACCCGGGCUUAAAUUGCAACUGACGGAACCGGAAACGGUUCUUUCUUCGGACAGUUGUGAAGGUGCUGCAUGGUUGUCGUCAGCUCGUGCCGUGAGGUGUCGGCUUAAGUGCCAUAACGAGCGCAACCCUUACGGGUAGUUACCAUCAGGUUAUGCUGGGGACUCUACCCGGACUGCCGUCGUAAGAUGUGAGGAAGGUGGGGAUGACGUCAAAUCAGCACGGCCCUUACGUCCGGGGCUACACACGUGUUACAAUGGGGGGUACAGAAGGCAGCUACACGGCGACGUGGUGCUAAUCCCAAAAGCCUCUCUCAGUUCGGAUUGGAGUCUGCAACCCGACUCCAUGAAGCUGGAUUCGCUAGUAAUCGCGCAUCAGCCACGGCGCGGUGAAUACGUUCCCGGGCCUUGUACGCACCGCCCGUCAAGCCAUGAAAGCCGGGGGUACCUGAAGUACGUAACCGCGAGGAGCGUCCUAGGGUAAAAC
rnacentral:rRNA from 1 species